GCCGGGCGCGGUGGCGUGCGCCUGUAAUCCCAGCUACUCGGGAGGCUGAGGCUGGAGGAUCGGUGAGCUCAGGAGUUCUGGGCUGCAGUGCACUAUGCCGAUUGGGUGUCCGCACUAAGUUCAGCAUCAAUAUGGUGACCUCCCGGGAGCGGGGGACCACCAGGUUGCCUAAGGAGGGGUGAACCGGCCCAGAUCGGAAAUGGAGCAGGUCAAAAACUCCCGUGCUGAUCAGUAGAAAGGGUAUAGGGUCAAAUGAAGUGCUUUUCCUAGAGGUGGAAGGGAAUUGUCUAU
ensembl:misc_RNA Metazoa_SRP Metazoan signal recognition particle RNA